UCAGAUUAGGGCUUUGAUUAGAUCCCAAAUUCCUAAUCAUCCUAUAUUGACAUUAUAGAUUCAGCUUCAAUCGUACACCAGUUCUGCCCUAUAAAUUGUAGUGGUCGACAAGAAAAUAGAUUUAGUCUAUGGUGGAUGAAGUGUUGGGCUGAUGGGUUUGAUUUCCCGGAGAGUAUAUGACAGAGGUUGCCAUGUUCUUGGGUAAACUAGAGCCAAUAUGUAUUUUACAUAUUUUAAAUCGACAUACUCUUUCAUCAAUUUAAAUUAGGGUCUGUAGUUCAUGUUUUAGCAUAUGACUCAACUCUUAAAUGCUCAACGUGUGCAAGGUCAUUCCUAAAGCAUCCCUCUUGAGGUAUCAAUAAUGUUCUGAUCUGUAACAUUGUUUCCAAUAUUGAUCUGCUAAAUGUUGAUGGGUACUACAACUCUUUGCUUGCAUUAUUUGACAAUGGUGCUGAAGAAGGUUUCAUCAAGCCAAGUGCUCGACACAUCAUCCUUUUCGCUUCAACUGCAAAGUAAAGAUGGAGGUUAUUUGAUGACAUUGAAAGACAUCUUUCUACCGUGAUGAAGGGAACUUCUUUUUCCUAUUAUGUUUGUGAUUGGUUGCAAAAUUAUGUGGAUGAGACAAUGUAAUAUAAAUUGUUAGAAAUUUAUGAAUUUCAUAGUUUUGAUGGAUUA